rnacentral:lncRNA from 1 species
UUUCCAGACACUCUGUGCAAAGAACAGAGGCAAGCCUCCAGCCAGGAGCUCAUGAAAUCAUGAACUGAGGCCUCAGUGCAAUAGCUCAUGAGGAAAUGAAUUAUUUCAACAGCCAGUUCUGGAAGUUGGAAGUACAAGAUCAGAUUGCCAGCAUCAUCAGGUACUCAUGAGGGCCGUCUUCCAGCUUGCAGACUGCCAACUUCUCAUUGUGUCCUCAGGUGAGAAAAAUUUGGCUCGUGGUGAUAGUCUUGGAUAUCACCUUCAUCCCCUCGGAUGUUUGUAGAUAAUCCUCCAUUAUAUUUGGAAUGAAUACUGUAGAUAUAUGAGGUUGGACUAUCCUACGUUUUGCUUGUUUAUGGGUUUUGCAUCUUGAUGUCUUCCUGAAGUAUUCUUCAUGGGGAAUUUCCAAAUCAACCACAAUUUGAUAUCAAAGUAAUGUCAAGUGCUUCUGACCCACUGCAUUAAACGUGUGCUGAGCAGUUGGUGGUAGAAGACAUUAUUGUGAAGGCUGCUCACCACCAAUUUCAUCACUGUUGCUAACUCCAGCUCAUCUAAUCUCUGCAACAUCUGCUACCAGCACCUUCUCUUGCCUCCUUUUGUGAACAUAGUUUUUUCUUCUGGUUAGAAAAUCAGUUCGAACUUCUUGAGUUUUGUGUUUUAAACUCUUCUCAACUGUUCCGAUGAUUGAUGGAUGGCCCAGAGGCGACCUCUUUAUCUCCAGCAACAUAUUUGGCUGUUGGCCCGGUAGAGAGGUACUCCAGAAGCUUGCUGGUUCAUCAUGCUCUCAUCUUUAACCACAACUAUUUAUCUGACUCCUUCCAUCUCCACAGCACUGUGUGAGGGAUCAGUGAUAAGAGACGGUGAAAGACAUGCGCAAAUGGAUAAAUAAUAAGCAGGAUAUGUAGAAUGACACAACAAUUGAUGAGUAAUUUAGGAGAUCCAAUAACUAAAAAAAAAAAGACUGGGGACAAGUUCAUGGAAAGAGUAAUCAACUAAGCCUUAUAACAUAAAAUUGACAAAUAGAGAAGGCAUGCAAUCCAGUAGAAUAGAGUGCAAAAGAGGUAGAAGACUAAUCGUUUCAAGACAUGUUGAGCCACAACAGCAAUAACAUUGUGACAAAAAACGUCGGUGUAGACUGCAGAAGAUCUUCAAUGACGGAUCAAGCUGUAUAGACUUUUUUUUACCCUCAUAUACUGAAUAGUCAUUUAAGGUAUACAGUGCCAACGUAAGAGAGAAAGGUGGUCUAUCAUUUUGGAGUUUCUUUCCACCUCUGGAGAAUUGCUCAGGAAAUCUGGCUAACAUACCAAAUAAAUCAAAUGGAUUUAA